rnacentral:rRNA from 1 species
UACGGAGGGUGCGAGCGUUGUCCGGAAUCACUGGGCGUAAAGGGCGCGUAGGCGGCCUGAUAAGUAGGGGGUGAAAUCCUGCGGCUUAACCGCAGGGCUGCCUUCUAAACUGUCGGGCUAGAGCACGGUAGAGGCAGAUGGAAUUCCCGGUGUAGCGGUGGAAUGCGUAGAGAUCGGGAAGAACAUCAGUGGCGAAGGCGGCUCACUGGCCCGGUACUGACGCUGAGGUGCGAAAGCGUGGGGAGCAAACAGG